rnacentral:rRNA from 1 species
AUACGGAGGGUGCAAGCGUUAAUCGGAUUUAUUGGGCGUAAAGGGGGCGUAGGCGGAGAUGUAAGUCAGAUGUGAAAUUCCGGAGCUCAACUUCGGAGCUGCGUCUGAAACUGCAUCCCUUGAGGGUAGACGGAGAGAACGGAAUUCCAAGUGUAGCGGUGAAAUGCGUAGAUAUUUGGAAGAACACCCGUGGCGAAAGCGGUUCUCUAGUUUACACCUGACGCUGAGGCCCGAAAGCGAGGGGAGCAAACAGGAUUAGAUACCCUGGUAGUCCACGCCGUAAACGAUGUCAACUAGCCGUUGGGACACUUGAUGUCUUAGUGGCGCAGCUAACGCGAUAAGUUGACCGCCUGGGGAGUACGGUCGCAAGAUUAAAACUCAAAUGAAUUGACGGGGCCCGCACAAGCGGUGGAGCAUGUGGUUUAAUUCGAAGCAACGCGAAGAACCUUACCUACACUUGACAUCCAGAGAACUUUCUAGAGAUAGAUUGGUGCCUUCGGGAACUCUGAGACAGGU